UGGGGAAUAUUGCACAAUGGGCGAAAGCCUGAUGCAGCAAUGCCGCGUGUGUGAAGAAGGCCUGCGGGUUGUAAAGCACUUUCGGUAGGGAAGAUUAUGACGGUACCUACAGAAGAAGCACCGGCUAACCCCGUGCCCGCAGCCGCGGUAAUACGGAGGGUGCAAGCGUUAAUCGGAAUUACUGGGCGUAAAGCGCGCGUAGGCGGUCUUGUAAGUCGGAUGUGAAAGCCCCGGGCUUAACCUGGGAACUGCAUUCGAUACUGCUUGACUAGAGUAUGGUAGAGGGUAGCGGAAUUCCGGGUGUAGCGGUGAAAUGCGUAGAUAUCCGGAGGAACACCAGUGGCGAAGGCGGCUCUCUGGGACGGUACUGACGCUGAGACGCGAAAGCGUGGGGAGCGAA
rnacentral:rRNA from 1 species